rnacentral:misc_RNA from 1 species
GACGGAGGGGGCUAGCGUUGUUCGGAAUGACUGGGCGUAAAGGGCGCGUAGGUGGUUUUUCAAGUCAGGCGUGAAAGCCCCAGGCUUAACCUGGGAAUUGCGCUUGAUACUGGAUAACUAGAGGACGAGAGAGGAAAGUGGAAUUCCGAGUGUAGAGGUGAAAUUCGUAGAUAUUCGGAGGAACACCAGAGGCGAAGGCGGCUUUCUGGCUCGUAUCUGACACUGAGGCGCGAAAGCGUGGGGAGCAAACAGG